CUGACGGCUGCCAAUCACCAUGGAAGAUUCAUAAAAAAAUCCACUGCUAAUAUUUUUUUUAUUAAUAUUUUUAUUUUUUAUUUCUGGACUGAUUCAGAUAAAGGGAUUUAGAAGGACUGAGCAUCUGCAGCUGCACUUAUCUGAACUUCUCCUCUCCUAAAUCCGUUGCCAACUUUGAUUGAAUGGGUGCUGUGGAUGUGAUUAUAUAAUGCUGCCAUUUCCAAGCAGUGUUUUUGAUAGGCCUGCUGUCACUUUCAUAAACCAAAUCCAAGCAGAUAGCCGUCGACUGGGAUGCAUUAUUUUAAGACCAGCUCGUAGUAAAGAUCUCAGUCGUCUUGAUUUGUGAAAUCCGAAAAGGCCAUCCUGAAAAAAACCAAAAGGGAAAAGGGUACAAGACAAUUUCUUUCUCUUUGCUUUGCUUUGCUAAAAGCUUCCCAGUUAUUGUACAAGUUGGAGGGGGAAAGGCAUCAUCAGUUUUGCUGUAUACACGGGAAACCAGAGGAUGGACUUCCAGAGGAGGGGUGUGGGGGGAGUUUUUAUGUGGUGGAUACUAUUAACACGUGAGGUGGAAUCCUAUUUUUCACACAUGAAGGGUAGUGGUUUAUUAGACAUGGAGUAGGUCUAUUUAAAUUUCUUAGUGGUAUUUGGUUACUGGAUUUUGAUGACAACAAAGAACUAACAUUAGGCUUCACACUGGGUUCUAUUAAAAGGCAACCUUUUGCGGUUUUCUGUGUAAGAAAAGCUGAUUUUUAGGAUGGAGGAGUAACAUUUGGUGGUAGGGCCUUGCAAAAUGUGCCCAUUCCGUGUGCUUAUUAUUCACCAAAAGUGAGGCCACGUCUCCCCCUCCUCCACCGCCCCCCCCCAAGAAAUUGAAUCCUUUGAAUGUACUUAGGCAUUUCAGGGUUGUGAGUCUAUGGGAUAACAUGAGGUAGAUAAUAAUUGAGAGGUUUUGCGUUAAGGGUUAUAUUGUUACACAUGUAAAUAAUGAAAAUAUUGUUAUAUAUCGCCAGAUCUCUUAACGAAUUUAGUAAUUGUAUUCAUUUAUAAUAUCAGUGUUCUGUGCUUGGUAAUAGAGUCUCCACCAUUUUUUUUCCUGAUUAGUAUUUUUUUACCUAAAGGAAAGCCAAAUGUUUUACAAAGUUCUGUUUGAUCAGUCUGGGUAAUCCCGAGAUGUGAUUAUUUAUAGUUUACAUUUUCAUACUCUACGGUCCUCUCCUACGCCCUAGGGGUUUGUUUUUUUUUCUUUUUAAUUAAAUUUUAUUUUUUUUUUAUUAUUUUUUCCUCAUUGACAUUCCAUCCUUCCACCCCAUCUAGUCUGAACACAAUAAAUCAUUUCAGGUGUAUUUUAAAUAGUCA
rnacentral:lncRNA from 1 species